GCACUAUAAACUCAUGCUGUCCCUGCUAACUAGUGCAGGGGCAGGGAAAUAUGUGCUAAAAGAAAUGCAGAGGAAAUCCAGACAAAACAUGUUUGACCUUGUGUUUGGUCUCUACACCUCUGCCACAUUU